GUAACGACAAACGCCCGAGGAAUGAUCGUGGCAGGGAAAAAGACCCUGAGGCAAAAAGGGAUGGUCAACCUACUGCUGGAACCAUCAAUAUCAUCAUUGGAGGUAUUGCCUCGGGAGGAGACUCCAACAGUGGAAGAAAACAAUAUGCCCGACGAUAUGCCUUGGCCUCUGGUAUGCCUCAGGGAAAGCUGGAGGAUAUUACUUUUGGGACCGGAGACUUAGAAGGCGUAUCACUUCCACAUGAUGACGCCUUGGUAAUCUCAGCGAUUGUGGCCAAUUUCGAAGUAAAGAGGAUCUUGGUUGACAACGGGAGUGCGGCCAAUAUACUUUCACAAGAAGCUUUUGCCAAAAUGGGAAUCUCC
rnacentral:lncRNA from 1 species